GGGAUGGGGACGUAUGCCCUCAGAUGUGUCUCGCCGAUCCAGGGCUUGGGGCACAGUUUAAGGGAUGAAGGGCAGGACGGUCUGACGUGUGGAGGUAGAUGACGGAGGGGAGGAGAGAUGCUCCUCUUGGAAUCCAGCCACCAUGUCAUGAGGAACCCAAACCACAUGGGGAGUCCAUGUGUGGGUGUCCUGAUGGACAGCCCCAGCCCGGCAUCAGCCUGGGAGCCAGUGUCCCUUCAGACGACCCAGCCCCAGCCUUGAGGCUCCCAGCUGAGGCCUCAGGCAUUGUGGAGCAGAGACAAGCCCUUCCCGCCAUGCCCUGUCCAAACUCCUGACCCAUGGAAACCACUCCCAGGCAAGCUCCUGUGAGAGAAGCAAAGUAUCUGUCUGACCAGAGGCAGCUUUCAAGGAACCUCCACGUCUGCCGGGAGAGAGAGGACCGCUCCCCGCACAGCUGUAAGUGAAGGUGAGGAGAGACCAACGCGGCGAGGGGGCGGAGGCUGGAGCCCAGGGCCCGGCUGGUCAUGUGGGGCCUGUGGGGAGGCAUCUGGGGAGCAGGAGGAGGCUGUCUCCCCCUGGGCCGUGGUGUUGGGAGCGGAGGGCCUGGUGUGCGCAGACACUGGGUUCUAGAAGGCAGUCUUGGGAGCUGGAGGAGGGGAGGAGGCUGGAGUGUACAUUGCAAAGGGCCCCAAAUGCCCAGCAAAGGAAGGCAGAGGUGAUGGUGAAGGAGCCUGCCAGCAUCAGUGACAGAGACGGAGUUGCAUGGCCGAAAAAAUUAACCUGGUGGUGAGGGAAGGAGGGAGGGGAAGGCAGGGCUGUGGGCAGCAAUCUUGAGGGGCUGGGUUAGGGUCCCACCUCACUUUGUUUUUAAAACUGGAAGUCCUGAUCCCAGAACCCCCUCAGUCUGGGGCAAACUAGGGCAGUGGGU
rnacentral:lncRNA from 1 species